rnacentral:rRNA from 1 species
UACGGAGGGAGCUAGCGUUGUUCGGAAAUACUGGGCGUAAAGCGCACGUAGGCGGCGCAGCAAGUCAGGGGUGAAAUCCCGGGGCUCAACCUCGGAACUGCCCUUGAAACUGCAGUGCUAGAAUCUUGGAGAGGCGAGUGGAAUUCCUGGUGUAGCGGUGAAAUGCGUAGAUAUCAGGAGGAACACCGGUGGCGAAGGCGCUCAUCUGGCCCAAUACUGACGCUGAGGCGCGAAAGCUAGGGGAGCGAACGGG